UACGGAGGGUGCAAGCGUUAAUCGGAUUUACUGGGCGUAAAGCGCACGUAGGCGGUUUGUUAAGUCGGAUGUGAAAUCCCCGGGCUCAACCUGGGAGCGGCAUUCGAUACUGGCAAACUGGAGUACGAGAGAGGGGGGUGGAAUUCCAGGUGUAGCGGUGAAAUGCGUAGAUAUCUGGAGGAACACCGGUGGCGAAGGCGGCCCCCUGGCUCGAUACUGACGCUGAGGUGCGAAAGCGUGGGGAGCAAACAGG
rnacentral:rRNA from 2 species